ACAGACAAACUUCCAGAAACAGAAACAUAACCUCAUUUUCUCAUGAGCAACCUACGUAGAGUAGGAAAAGAGACAAUUGUUAUAUUGCAUCUGCGAAGUCCCUCAAGACUGAGAAGACAUCAAAGAACAGUAGUAAUGAAUAUUUAUUCAGCCUGGUAGUUCUUCCUGUCUUCUUGGGGGUCAAGGUGGAUAAAUGCAGUUCUUCCCUGUACAUGUCUCUAGCAAGUUUCCUAAGAUGUGGAAAACUCUGUAGGUUGCUGUGCUGGUUUUGCAUUAAUUGAUUUUUGGUGAAGAGGGAAAAACGUCAGCCACGGAAGUGAUUCUCUGUGGGAAGCUGCGAAGAGCUUCCUCCGUGCCUGACAAAACCAAUCAGCGACCGGUUUUGAAUAUUGACGACCUGUUAAACCACUUGAAAGAGCUGAUUCCGCCUCUGUGGUACGCACAUUUAAGGAUGAACAAAGCCCGGGAAAUCUCUCUCGUUUCCAGCCUUGAAGAGGUAACCUUGGGUCGGCCCCGCUCCACCACGGCCUGCAUGAGCUGGCGGGGCCGGGCCGGACCCCAGCGGUGGCAGGGAGAGAGAUGGGAGGCUGUGGGGCCCCGGCCGAGGCUGUUGUCUUGUCUGACACAAAGCCCUGCCCCACCGCCGAGCCGGGGUCCGCUGGGUCCCGGGAGCAGCUCCGGGCCGGGUCUCCUUACCCCCAGUGUGGUCAGACCGGCCCGCGGCUCAGCUAAAACUCUGCUGCCGCCGACUUCCACCAGAAAGUGCCGGGCAGGGGGAGGGGAAGCCCCGGUGUGCUGGCUCCAAGUGCUGAGAUCCUGCUUUCCUCCCCUGCACCGCCCCGAAGAAUGUAAGCAGCUCCAGCCGCCGCCCGGCAGAGAUCCCAUGGCCCUCGGCAGGACUUGGGCAGGAUAUCAGCUGUGUGCAGAUGAGACCCGCUGACAUCAAUCUUCUGUCAAGGGAAAGAAAAGGAAUGAGUGAAGACACGUAGAGGACAACAUAAAAACAAGAAGGUCAGAAAGAAGGAGAUGAAUCCCAGAUGGGAGGAGAAUAAAAUGCCUUACUCUUGGGCUGAAAUUCUUUGUAAGGCCAUGGUGAUAGACUCUAAUAUGUUCGAAUAUCCUUAUACUUCAUGAAACAUGGGGGUGGGGCAUUCAAACUACACGUGAGCAAAGGCAUCCAUGUGGAAGUAAGCAGAUGUUGAAGUAGCUGUGAUCCAAAUGAGAAGCUUGAAAAGAGAGGCAGCUGGUUCACUGUGACACUGAAGCCACGAGGGAACUGUUUCUUGUGGAGGAGUCUCCAUGACAUGGCAAGAGAGACUUCUCUUCCUAAAAGAACUGAAGAAAGAUUAUUCUAGAAGUGGCAAACUGACUGAAAAUACCAAGUUUUGUCUCUUUACAUUGUCACUGGGAGAGAGGAGUUAGGGGGGAGGUAAAGUGUUCUGAAGGUUUUAUUUUGAUUCUCAUUCUUUCUUUUAAUUCUGUUAGCAAAGUUUUGUUUAUACCCUUUUAAGUUUUAAGCCUGCUUUGCUCUCCUCCUAAUCAUAUCUCACAGGAGGAAAUGAAUAAAUAAUUCUAGUGGUUGCAUGAGCAUUUGGUCAGCACCAAACCCACUACAGUUACACAAGAACAUCUUUAUUUAUUGUUUCAAAAUUAAGGGGUCAAUAUAUGCAUCCAUUCUUUUCACUAAGGCUUCCUGCUAACUGUUUAAAUUAUAUUGUUUGGAAAAUGAGAGCAACUAUGGAAGAGACUAUGCUUUUUUAGUCUAUUACAGUGGAGGGCCAAAUAAUGCAGUGUCAUUCAUAUAGCUGGACUCUAUAUAAAGUUAGACUUUGCUCACUGUUAGGGCAGUUAUACGGUAGACUGCUUACACAGCUUUAAUUGCAACCAAAUGUAACAGCAGCCUUCGAAGGAUAUCACCCACAUCUAUUUUUACAGAUGUGAAGAUGAUUAUGAAAAAUAAGUCAGAAAUAGAACAAUGUGAGAGUAAAACAACAGGGUGUUGUUAUUGCUGAGAUGGCUUGUAUCCAGCAACAGUACACAGUUUCAGGUUUUUCUUAAAACUAUAUGAUGCUAUUUAACACAUUUAAAUAUAGAUGUAGAUUAUAUUCAGUAUUAGGAAAGCAAUACAGAUUAAGAUAAUACAGAAUAUACUAUACUAAAACAUCUGUUCAGUGUAUUAUAUUAGUCCCAUAAAGUUAGUUGUAAGCCCAUGAAAUUCUCAGGCUUUUUCUAUCACCUGAAAAUGUCUUAAAAGGAAAUUAGGACCCAGGUUUCACAUUAUUGAAGCAAAAAGAAAAAUGGCUAUUUGCUUUUGAGAGCAUUUGUAUGAAUAUUUCAAAAUACUUAUUUGAAGCUCUGGAAGUUCCAACUGUUUUGAAUGGCACCAGCAUUAAAGUUAAUAUACUUUAUUUCAGAGGAAGGGGCUAUUUUUGGAUUAGCCUUGAAAAACAUCGAUCUUUAAUGAUCUCUUACAGCUGAACAUAUCUCAGUGGUGUUAAUUACAUUUGGAAUUAAUAUUUUCAAAACUCAGAUUCUGUUUUGCUCUUUUGAUGUAAGCCUCGUUAUUGAUUACCAAGUGGGUAGAUGAAGAAGCCUUUUUGAUACUGUUCAUCCACAAUUAUUAGCUAAAUAUCAUUGUCUAAAUAUAAUGUAUUUUUAGUAUUCCGUUCAUGUAUUUGGAAAAGAAGAGGGAGUCACAUUUACAAAAACAUUGAUGAUUUCUUGUAUUUCUAAAUAGAUAUUAAUAUUUCAUAUCUGAAGUGGUGAAAAUAGGUAUUUGUAUAUAUUACAAUACUAUUGUAAUGUCAGUUCCAUUUUCAGUGGUGCAGGAGGUAGGGGGAAAGGAGAAAGAAAAGCUGUGAAACUGCGUCUUUUUACUUUUAUCAUGCAAUGCAGUAAUAGUGCAUGAAGUAAGAUUGCCAUUGCUUCCUUAAUAUAAUUCACCCUACCUUUCACUUGUACUUCCAGAAAAUCAGUCUUGCAAAGUUACAUAACACAUAAGUGCUAGGCUUUUUACACAAGUAGAAAGGAUGGUGAUUGUCUCAGAAAAUUUACUUCCUACUGUGUUUAUUUCCACUGAAGCUAAAACAAAAUUGAUUGAAAAAAAUAGAAGCUGGGAUAAUAGAAGAAAAGAAAGAAAACAUGAAUACCAAGAAAAAAAAAAUUUGAAAGUUAGCAAGUUAUGUGGUGAGAAAAAAAUAAAGUAUAAAAGAAAGACACAAUCUCUGUGUAAAGAAGAAUUAUGGUACUGUCUCUAAUGACCAAAUAUUAGACAAUUUUCCUUGUCUAUCAGAAUAAGAGGGGAGGCUGGAGAACUACCACAGAGGGAAGCAGUGUCCUUUUUGUAGCUUCUGAUCCUAGUAAGUGCUCUUCUGAGGCUUCACCUCAUUCGUGUUUCAUGCAACAUCUCUGGACAAGUCGACAGGUCACAUUUCCCACAGCAUCUGGGUCCUUUGCAGCAUUGUAUAUACUUCUAUCUUCACAAGGCUAUCUCACCAUCUUACAGAUAUUGCAAAAAAGCAGCUGGUGAUAAAUUAAAAAUUUGAAGCAAUUUUACCAUUAAGAGCGGUUGUUCUCAUCAUUUAGGGUAAGGGGAACCAGGAGGGUAAUAUAUUUUCAGAGGGCUAUCCAGUUAUCAUCUACACAGAGUAAAGAGAGUGAGGUGGAUGAAGGAAGGGCAGGCACAGACAAGACGUUGGCAGCAGGUUGUACAACCAUGGUCCACUCUUUCUAUUGGCUCCUACUGCCCGCAAGGGUGUCUUACCCUGAAUUGAAGAUUCCUGGAUUUUGGCAUUGAUAGUGAAAAUAGGUGAAGGGCACAUCAGAGAGAAAUUUGUGUAAAGUGAUUAGUUCUCUUGAAACAAUCAUCAUAGAAGAUAAUCUGAAUUUCUAAUGAUGCAAGUUCCUGAGGGUAAUUUGAACUGGUAGCUUUUAUGAGUGAGGUAGGGUCCCUCCUGUUGGGGCAGAAUGGGAAAAUAAUGUUUUCAUGAAGUACAUUUCACUUAAUUUUUAUCAUUUAGCCUAGAAAAGAAAAAUACAAUUGCAUCAAUUAUAAAGCUCAGAAAAGCUAGAAAAACUAUCUCUCUGCAAUUUUUCAUCUCUUUAUGAAUUGUUAUUGUGCUAGGAAAAGAUACCACACAAUAAUCCACAAAGAAAUAACAGUUUCAUUUCCCUUUUCCAAAUUCUUCCCUCUUUGGAAACAGAAGUUAUUUCUGAACAACAACAUCCAUUCUGUGAUCUUAAUAACAUAUGCUUCUGUGCCAGCAUGAUAUUAUGAAAAUUGCUUUCAGUUUCAGUAGGAGCUGCAAUCCUGCAGCACCUCUAAAAAUCCAUCUGUUUUUUAACCUUAAAAGGAAAAAAAGUGCCCACUUCUGAGUUAUUGAAAAUCAAAUAUAUAGCAGUGAAUGAAUUAGAAAACAAUAUUAUUGAAAGCAAAAAAUUAGGAUCUCUAUAUGCUGUGAAAACCCCAAUCAAAUUCACUUAGUUUUCACUAUACAAGAAUAGUAACAUGGGUUAAAAACUCUGUUGUGAGGGAGGUUUGCAUUCAGAAUUGACAGGCCUCCUUUUAAUAUCCCAGUCAUAGAGGAGCAUGAGAGGAGGAAAAUGACUAAUAUUUUUAUUUUAGAGAGAAGGCAAAGACUACAGUGGCCCAUCUAUUUUCAGUGGAGAAGAGAUACUCAUUAUGCAGUCAUGUUAGAAUGUCAUUCAGGGUAUAAAGGUUAUGAUUUUAAGUUGUCAGCAGAAACACAUGCUCCCAGGAAAGAUAAGGAACAAACAUGUUUGAAGCCUGAAGUUGACCCUAUGAGUACAGGUUCACUUCCCCCAACACUUCAACCUCAAGAAAGAAGUAACUAAAAAACUAGAACAAUUAUCUGGGAUAGGAGGACUCCAGUCAUCCUUGCUUGCUGCUGUAUAAUUCAUACUAAUCUUCCAAAUAUGUCCUGAAAUACCAGGAAUACCCAUAAAAAGUCUCCUGAGAUACCUAUACAAUUGUUGGGAACUGUCUUUAAAGAUUGCAACACUGUCAUGCAGUGAAAAAAUGGCUGUGCUAUGCAGAACCAAUCAAAUAGAAAUUCUUGGUUAAUGCUAACAAAAAACAUCUGUCUUCAUCUGUCUAUAGAGUUAUUUCAGACAAUUCAGGCACAUUUUGAAUUAAAAAGCUUAAAAAUAAUCAGUCAAGCUACAAAUCCAUUCCAGUCUAAGAUUUGCAUAGCCCAGUCACACAACAAGGUUUCAAUACCUUAAUUGUUGCUUAGAACAGGACAUACUGCCCUAAAAGAUUCCGAAAAUAUCUGUCCCAGUCGCUCAUACUUAGUUCAUACUAGUUAAUACUAGUUCAGCAAAUACUCAGGCCUCAGAAAUCAAAAGAAAUGGUUCAGUCCCUUGAAUUCCCAAAACUAAAUCAAGUUGUAAUAGCCUGUAUUGUGUCUUGGUCUAAAAUAGUAUUGAUUUUACCUCUAGAGACAAAAAUAAUGUUUAAAAAAAGACAAGAGAAAAAAAUACUCAAGUCUCUAAACCUGAUCCUCAUUUUCAGCACUCAAGCAAUAAUUCAAGUAAUAUUUUUCUUCCAUAUAUUUUCAUAAUUGGAUUUGUGUGUCAAGGUUUUGGUAUCCAGGCCAGGGGCUGUGGGACUGAUUUCUGUAAAAACAAGAUAGAAGCUUUCUCCAUGUCUGACAGAGCCAAUGUCAGCCAUCUCUGUGAUGGACCCACUGCUGCACAAGACUAAGCCCUUCAGUCACAGUGAUAGUGCCUCUGGGAUAACGUAUUUAAAUAGAGUGGAAAACAGUUGCGCAACUUCAGAAGGACUUUGACAGGCUAGAGAGGUGGGCAGAGAAUUAUCUGCAAUCCAAAAAAGGCAAAUACAAGAUCCUGCACCUAGUGAAGAAUUUCCCCAUGGCUGGGGGCCAACCUGCUGGAAAGCAGCUCUGCAGAGAGGGACCUGGGUGCCGUGAGCCACAAGUGUGGCCAAGAAGGCCAAGAGUACUCCAGGGUGCAUUAGGAAGAGCAUUGCCAACAGACAGAGGAAGGUUAUCCAGUCCCUCAACAGCCCUGGUGAGACCUCUUUUGGAGUAUUGUGGGCAGUUCCAGGCUCCUCAGCACGAGAGAUGGAUUUCCUAGAGUGGGCUGAACAGAAGAUGACAAAGACAAUUAAAGGACUGGAGAAUUGGUCCUGUUCUGUCUCUUACAACCUGCAUAUCUGAACAGUUAUUUUCAUCAGGUUCAAGCAUAAGCAUUCUUUUAAACUUAAACUUUGUAUACUGAGCAUUUAAAAGGAGGCUUUCUGACAUUCAGUUAUGCAAUAUAUCAUUUCACUGGAAAAUAGUCUAAUUUGAGGAAAGGUUUUCUUGUUUCUUUCAGUUAUUACUUUGUCAUAGCAUCCCCUUGUUCACUGAUUUAUUUCGUGGUUUAUUGUAAAACAACAGUGAAUACACAUGAGAAAGUGGCUCUUCUUCAGUAAAUUUGAAUUAUUAGUGCUAUCAUUUUAAACAAAGAAACCAUAUUCUGGAUUUUUCUUAUAAGUGUUAAUCUAUUUUCUACUAAAGCAUCUCACAUAUAUUCUAACUAAAGUAUGGGAAGAAUGAGAAUUAUUAGCACAGUUUUGUAUUCAGUAAAUUAUUACAAUGCAUCAGUGUGAGUAGGCUUUCAUAUUGAAAUCUAUGGUCUGAAUUUGUCUUUUUAAAAUUUAAACAAAUUAGUGCUAGUGCUAUCAUUCAUCCAGCAUUCAUGGUUUCAAAUAUACUACUGUGCUUUGUUUUCUGUAAAAGUCUAACUCUAGAGAAACCUUUUAGGUGGAGUCCUGUAUAAUAAUAAUGUAAUCAUUGAUUACAUUAUUCUGCAGGUCACAUUUAUUAGAGGCCACCUAAAACAUCUUAGUGAACAUUAAAGGUGACUGAAAACAUUUAAGUUGCAGAAGUUAAAAGAAUGCUCAGAUUUUUUCCCUCUAACUAAAAUAAAAAUUACAAAUACAUUUGUCAUUUGUACAAAAUACAAAAGUAUUUUGUUUGUUUGUCUGAGCUUGUACAAACAUCAUCCAGUAUCUUCCAAGAAAAUCUAAAACACUAGUAUGGCUUUCUAAUUUUCACUAGAGAUUGACAAAUUCUUUGAAUAAUUGUUUUCUAAUUAAAAGAUUUUGCAAGAAUUCUCUUGACAAUUUAAUUUUGCGCUUUUUUAGUCAAGUUUUGAGCUCAAAACAUCUGGAAUGUUUGUGAAGGUUAAAGUUUUGAUAAACAUCCAAUUUCAAACACAUUAAGAAAAUAAAAUACCUCUUCCAUAUGUUGUACAAAUCAGUGGUGAUUUCUGUAGGCCAAUCGCAUGUGACCAGUACAACUUGCAUCGCUGAAAUCUUUCAUAGAAUUGGAAACAAAGGUAGAUAGUGAUUUUAAUUUUUAAUUCCUUAACUUAUCUGUGGUAAAAAAAAAAAAAAUAUAGGACAAUUGUUCUAGUCAGGACAGAGUUAAUUUUUGCAGUAGCCAGGAGGGAGUAUAGCCAAGACCCUGAGGUUAUUCUAUACUUUCUUACAUCGUGUUGUGGAGGGAGUGGUUCGGGAUGGCCAGAGGAUUCUGUGUGAAUGAUUUGCCUCUUUCUUGUACCCUCUGCCAUUCAUAUUGUUGCUGAUAAGGUUCGUUUUCUUCUCUCUUACUCCUAUGUAUUACUCUUAAUUGUUACUUAUGCAGUAAAUUGCUCUUACGUCA